rnacentral:tRNA from 1 species
CAAGACGUAGCUACAAACCCUAAAGCAUUCAGCUUACACCUGAAAGAUAUCUCACAAAGGAUCGUCUUGA